GGUUUUAGGUACAGAAUACGAAAUGCUCUGAGACCAGGUUGCGAGAGCUCCAAAAGGUGAACAAAACCAGCAGGCAGCUAGGGAGUGCCAAACACACUGGCAUGGAGUUGCUGAGGCAGGUUGAAAGCCUUCAGGAACAGAAGAUGGCAUUGCAGUCCAGCGUCACUGAAGUUGUUGAUGCACAGAGUGCAGUUUAACUCCGAACCCAUGCACAUAAAAAGGGUUCUGGAUUGGACUGAAGGAGGAAGAGGAUACAGGGGGGACCUGGACACGGCUUGAUGGGACUGAUCUGACUCAGGGGUAAGAGCUGCACAAGUCAUUGGACUGGAGGAAGAGGAUACAGGGGGGACCUGGACACUGCUUGAUGGGACUGAUCUGACUCAGGGGUAAGAGCUGCACAAGUCAUUGGACUGGAGGAAGAGGAUACAGGGGGGACCUGGACACGGCUUGAUGGGACUGAUCUGACUCAGGGAAAGGUACUGGGAAGACGGAGAGCCCAAUGACCACUAUGGAAUGGAGGACUUUGCGGCCAUCAAAAUAAAUCCCAUGAAGUUCUGGAAUGAUGCUACUUGUACAAGUGAAAUGCAAUCAAGGAAGGCUUAUAAAUGACUGUAAAAUGUCCAUUAUUUAAUUAAGUAAAUACAUACAUUGAAAAUAGACAUUGGAAUCAAAUGUAAAUUGAAGUUGUACAUAGCAUAAGAUUGUAUCUGAAAUAAAUUGUCAUACUGUAAAGUUAAACGCAUAGAAAUGAAUGAGUUCUGUAUCUUUGAUUAUAACGAGUAAUCAAUCAAAAACAAACAAGACUACAAAUUGUUGUCACAUCUGCUCCUGCCACGCCCUCUAGUGCUCAUCCGGUGUCUCCUUGACUGCUCUCUCCCUGUGUGUGUGUGUGUGUGUGUGUGUGUGUGUGUGUGUGUGUGUGUGUGUGUGUGUGUGUGUGUGUGUGUGUGUGUGUGUGUGGGCAGAGACAGGUGUGCUGGAGUCAGAGCAGAUCCCCACCAGCUGCAACCUGUUUCAUAAUCAAGACCUCUACAAAUAUUCAGUCCUGCCGCUUCCUCACUGCCAGAUCAUAAUCUCUGCUCAUUAUGCCUGCUCUGACUCUAGUCAGUCUCCAGUCCAACAUCUCGUCAUCCUGCUACUCUGUCCUGGAUUCCCCACUUUACUACUCCCUUGGAUUCAUGUUACCCUGUCUCAUGCUCACCCUGUCUCAACUCCCCUCGCUCCAGCCUCAGCCUCUGCAUUUUUUUUCCCAAUAACCUGCCAGAGCUUCCCCUGACCUGCACUCCAUCUCCCCAUGUUUCAAUAAA